UACGUAGGGUGCGAGCGUUGUCCGGAAUUAUUGGGCGUAAAGAGCUUGUAGGCGGUCUGUCGCGUCUGCUGUGAAAAUCCGGGGCUCAACCCCGGACUUGCAGUGGGUACGGGCAGACUAGAGUGUGGUAGGGGAGACUGGAAUUCCUGGUGUAGCGGUGAAAUGCGUAGAGAUCCGGAGGAACACCAGUGGCGAAGGCGGCUUUCUGGGUCCGCCCUGACGCUGAGGCGCGAAAGCGUGGGGAGCGAACGGG
rnacentral:rRNA from 1 species